rnacentral:rRNA from 1 species
UACGUAGGGGGCAAGCGUUGUCCGGAAUCAUUGGGCGUAAAGCGCGUGUAGGCGGCCCAGUAAGUCCGCUCUGAAAGCCCGGGGCUUAACCCCGGGAGGCGGGUGGAUACUGCUGGGCUCGAGUCCGGAAGAGGCGAGUGGAAUUCCCGGUGUAGCGGUGAAAUGCGCAGAUAUCGGGAGGAACACCUAUGGCGAAGGCAGCUCGCUGGGACGUGACUGACGCUGAGACGCGAAAGCGUGGGGAGCAAACAGG